CCUACGGGAGGCAGCAGUAGGGAAUCUUCCACAAUGGACGAAAGUCUGAUGGAGCAACGCCGCGUGAGCGAUGAAGGCCUUCGGGUCGUAAAGCUCUGUUGUUAGGGAAGAACAAGUACCGGAGUAACUGCCGGUACCUUGACGGUACCUAACCAGAAAGCCACGGCUAACUACGUGCCAGCAGCCGCGGUAAUACGUAGGUGGCAAGCGUUGUCCGGAAUUAUUGGGCGUAAAGCGCGCGCAGGCGGUCCUUUAAGUCUGAUGUGAAAGCCCACGGCUCAACCGUGGAGGGUCAUUGGAAACUGGGGGACUUGAGUGCAGAAGAGGAAAGCGGAAUUCCACGUGUAGCGGUGAAAUGCGUAGAGAUGUGGAGGAACACCAGUGGCGAAGGCGGCUUUCUGGUCUGUAACUGACGCUGAGGCGCGAAAGCGUGGGGAGCAAACAGGAUUAGAUACCCUGGUAGUCCACGCCGUAAACGAUGAGUGCUAAGUGCUAGAGGGUUUCCGCCCUUUAGUGCUGCAGCUAACGCAUUAAGCACUCCGCCUGGGGAGUACGGCCGCAAGGCUGAAACUCAAAGGAAUUGACGG
rnacentral:rRNA from 1 species